CCCAUGGCCAAGUCGAGCGGAGAGAGGUAGCUUGCUACUGAUCUUAGCGGCGGACGGGUGAGUAAUGCUUAGGAAUCUGCCUAUUAGUGGGGGACAACAUUUCGAAAGGAAUGCUAAUACCGCAUACGUCCUACGGGAGAAAGCAGGGGAUCUUCGGACCUUGCGCUAAUAGAUGAGCCUAAGUCGGAUUAGCUAGUUGGUGGGGUAAAGGCCUACCAAGGCGACGAUCUGUAGCGGGUCUGAGAGGAUGAUCCGCCACACUGGGACUGAGACACGGCCCAGACUCCUACGGGAGGCAGCAGUGGGGAAUAUUGGACAAUGGGCGCAAGCCUGAUCCAGCCAUGCCGCGUGUGUGAAGAAGGCCUUAUGGUUGUAAAGCACUUUAAGCGAGGAGGAGGCUACUUUAGUUAAUACCUAGAGAUAGUGGACGUUACUCGCAGAAUAAGCACCGGCUAACUCUGUGCCAGCAGCCGCGGUAAUACAGAGGGUGCAAGCGUUAAUCGGAUUUACUGGGCGUAAAGCGCGCGUAGGCGGCUAAUUAAGUCAAAUGUGAAAUCCCCGAGCUUAACUUGGGAAUUGCAUUCGAUACUGGUUAGCUAGAGUGUGGGAGAGGAUGGUAGAAUUCCAGGUGUAGCGGUGAAAUGCGUAGAGAUCUGGAGGAAUACCGAUGGCGAAGGCAGCCAUCUGGCCUAACACUGACGCUGAGGUGCGAAAGCAUGGGGAGCAAACAGGAUUAGAUCCUUGGUAGGCCCAA
rnacentral:rRNA from 1 species